rnacentral:misc_RNA from 1 species
AAGUCGUAACAAGGUUUCCGUAGGUGAACCUGCGGAAGGAUCAUUAACAGUUUAUGUUUGUGUCUGUUGUUGUGAUGUGUGUGAUCUGUGACAAUUGCCAUUUGGUUGGCAAUGUUAUUUUUUUUACCAUGUUUUUUAUUACCUGUCUUAUACCAUACCAUAUACAAUUAUCGAAAACUGCCAGCAAUGGAUCACUCGGUUCUU